AGACAUACAGGUCGAGCAAGGAUGAAAAUCGGACUUAGUGAUCCGGUGGUUCUGCGUGGAAGGGCCAUCGCUCAACGGAUAAAAGCUACCCUGGGGAUAACAGGCUUAUCUCCCCCAAGAGUCCACAUCGACGGGGAGGUUUGGCACCUCGAUGUCGGCUCAUCACAUCCUGGGGCUGUAGUAGGUCCCAAGGGUUGGGCUGUUCGCCCAUUAAAGUGGUACGCGAGCUGGGUUCAGAACGUCGUGAGACAGUUCGGUCCCUAUCCGUCGCAGGCGUAGGAAAUUUGAGAAGACCUGUCCUUAGUACGAGAGGACCGGGAUGGACGUACCUCUGGUGUACCAGUUGUCCUGCCAAGGGCAUGGCUGGGUAGCUAUGUACGGAAUGGAUAAGCGCUGAAAGCAUCUAAGCGCGAAGCCAACUUCAAGAUAAGAUUUCCCACCGCAAGGGUAAGACCCCAGAAAGACUAUCUGGUUGAUAGGUCGAAGGUGUAAGUGCAGCAAUGUAUUUAGCUUAUCGAUACUAAUAGGUCGAGGACUUGACCAAU
rnacentral:rRNA from 1 species